rnacentral:lncRNA from 1 species
CAAACAUACAAAUAUACAUUUAUUAUACAAAUAUACAUCUCUAUACAAAUUUUUUAAACAUGUAGAGCCACUCCAUAAAUAACAUAAUGAAAUAGGAAAAUGGUAACUCAAUGCAUUCCAACUUGGAUUAAUAUUAAUGAAACUAGCAACUGCAUUAAUGAAAGACAGGAAUUGGAAAUUUAAAAAUUUGUAGGAAUGGACAGUUGGAAGAUGUAUAACAGGACCUGCAUGAAUUCAGGAAUGACACUGAAACAGGUAAACAUCUCAUAAAUUAACAAUUAUAACAGGCCCAAGGGAAAAUAGAUAUACUAGAAGUACAUAUUGAAGAAAGAGGAUAAGAAAANAUAUAUGCAAAUCAAUAAAUGUAUUUAUCACAUUAACAGAACCGAGGACAAAAAUCACUUACUAACCUCAAUAGAUGCAGAGAAGGCCUCAACAAAAUUCAGCACCAAUUCAUGAUUAAAAACACUGAAGAAACUAAGGAUAGAAGACACCUCAACAUCAUAAAGGACAUAUCUGAAAAACUCAGAGCCAACCUCAUAGUAAAUGAGGAAAAACUUAAAGCAUUUCCUUUAAAAGCUGGAAUAAGAUAAGGACCUCCACUCUCACUACAAUUUAGUGUAGUGUUAGAAAUUCUAGCCAGAUCAACUGGGAAAGAGAAGGAAAUAAAAGGGAUUAAAAAUAGAAAGGAAAAAGUCAAAUUAUCACUGUUUGCAGAUGAUAUGAUCCUAUAUCUAGAAGAUACAAAAAAAACUACACCAAAAGAAUGCUAGAGCUAAUAAUCAAAUUUGGCAAAGUAGCAGGUUACAAAAUCAACAUACAAAAAAAAUCUACACCUUUUCUAUAUACCAACAAUUAAUUAGCUGAUAAAAAAGUUAGGAAAACAAUUCCAUUCACAAUAGCCUCAGAAAAGAAAUAUACUGAGGAAUAAAUCUAACCAAGGAGGUGAAAGGCCUCUACAAUUAAAAGUGUAUAACAUUGAAGAGAGACAUCAAAGACAGCCUCAGAAGAUGGAAAGACCUCCCAUGUUCAUGGAUAGGCAGAAUUAAUGUUGUUAAAAUGGCUAUACUACCAAAAACAAGAUACAGAUUCAAUAAAAUUUCCAUCAAAAUACCAAUGAUAUUCCUCACUGAACUAGAAAAACAGUCCUAAAAUUCACUUGGAAGAAUAAAAGACCAGAAUAGCCAAAGUGAUUUUAAGCCAAAAAAGCAUUGUUGGAGACAUCACAAUACCUUUUCUCAAGUUAUACUACAAAGUUAUAGUAACAAAAACUGCAUGGCACUGGCAUAAAAACAGACACAUAGACCAAUGGUAUAGAAUAGAAGACACUAAACAAACCCAAACAGAUCCAGCCAGCUGAUCCUUGACAAAGGGGCCAAAAACAUACAUGGAAGAAAAGACAGCCUUUUAAACAAAUGGUGCUGGCACAACAAUGUAGGAGAAUGACACUAGACCUUUAUCUCUCACCCUGCAUAAAAAUUAACUCAAAAUGUGAGUUCAUUUCACACCAGUGAGAAUGGCAGUCUUCAAGAAUACAAAUAAUAAUAAAUGCUGCAGAGAAUGCAGAGAAAAAGGAACAUUUUUACACUGUUGAUUCAUUGGACUGUAAAUUAGUACAACCACUAUGGAAAUCAAUAUGGAGGCUCCACAAGAGACUAGGCAUGGAACCACCAUAUGAUCCAGCUAUACCUCUCUUCAGUAUUUACCAUGAAGAAUUAAAGUCAUCAUACUUCAGUGAUAACAUGCAUAACAAUGUUUAUAGCAGCACAAUUCACAAUAACCAAACUAUGGAAACAAACUAGGUGUCCAUCAAUGGAUGAAUGGAUAAAUAAAAUGUGGUAUAUGUACACAAUGGAGUUUUAUUCAGUCAUAAAAAAAUGGAAAUGUUGUUUUCAGGAAAAUACAUGGAAAUAGAGACCAUUGUGUUAAGUGAAAUAAGACCAAUUCAAAAGUUUAAGGGGUUGUAUGUUUUCUCUCAUAUGUGGAAGAUAGAGAAGAAAAAGGAUAACUAAGGAGGGGUGGAUCUCCUAAAAAUCAAAGCGAGAUCCUUACUGAGAGGUAAGGGACAAAAGAGUAGGAUAUUGAUCAAAUUAUAUUGUUAUAUUGUGUGCAUGUGUGAAUAUGUAAUAGUAAAUCCCAUGAAUAUGCAGAACUAUAAUGUAUCAAUAAAAGAAUAUGAGAAAAAAGAAUACUAGAAAUUUUUAAAAACUUCAUGA